CCUUUGUUUUAACGCCGUUUCGCAAUUUUUCGCCUUCCCUCUCGCCUCUUAUUCCGUGUUUUUUCGGCGCGUAUGCAAUAUUAGUUUUCAAAUAGAAACCCACUUCCCGCCGUUUUCUUUUUUUAACGCAGAUUCGACGAAUGUUCAGGGUAAUGGUGAAAAAUUGAAAACAUUGAUAACUAUCGCCAUAUGUAACGAUUGAGAAAAAAAAAAAAGCUCGAAUCCUCAAAUCCACUUUAAAUCCUGUAAGAAAAUCGCUGAUUAAUGAGUAAAUGGACCGGCCUAUAUAGGUAC